GAUGAAGAACGUAGCGAAAUGCGAUAAGUAAUGUGAAUUGCAGAAUUCAGUGAAUCAUCGAAUCUUUGAACGCACAUUGCGCCCGCCAGUAUUCUGGCGGGCAUGCCGUUCGAGCGUCAUUUCAACCAUCAAGCCCCCGGCUUGUGUUGGGGACCUGCGGCUGCCGCAGGCCCUGAAAACCAGUGGCGGGCUCGCUGUCACACCGAGCGUAGUAGAUUUUCAUCUCGCUCAGGGCGUGCUGCGGGUUCCGGCCGUAAAAAGCCUUAUUUACCCAAGGUUGACCUCGGAUCAGGUAGGAAGACCCGCUGAACUUAAGCAUAUCAAUAAGCGGAGGA
rnacentral:misc_RNA from 1 species